GAUGAACGCUGGCGGCGUGCCUAACACAUGCAAGUCGAGCGAAGCGUUUUAAAGGAAGUUUUCGGAUGGAAUUUGAAAUGACUGAGCGGCGGACGGGUGAGUAACGCGUGGGUAACCUGCCUCAUACAGGGGGAUAACAGUUAGAAAUGACUGCUAAUACCGCAUAAGCACACAGUACCGCAUGGUACAGAGUGAAAAACUCCGGUGGUAUGAGAUGGACCCGCGUCUGAUUAGCUGGUUGGCGGGGUAACGGCCCACCAAGGCGACGAUCAGUAGCCGACCUGAGAGGGUGACCGGCCACAUUGGGACUGAGACACGGCCCAAACUCCUACGGGAGGCAGCAGUGGGGAAUAUUGCACAAUGGGGGAAACCCUGAUGCAGCAACGCCGCGUGAGUGAAGAAGUAUUUCGGUAUGUAAAGCUCUAUCAGCAGGGAAGAAAGUGACGGUACCUGA
rnacentral:rRNA from 1 species